rnacentral:lncRNA from 1 species
UUCAUUAUUUUUAACUCUUUUUGCUUACUUCACUUUCUUAUUAAUAAUCCAUCACAAAGUCUACUUGUACAGUUGGUUAUAACUAAGGCCCCUUGCCCAUCUUUUAUUGAUUUCCUACGGUAAGAAUUCUGUUACACUACACCAAUAGGAAUAGGUUUAAUUCAAAUUUCUAAACCAUCCACUAAUUAAGGUUGAACAGCAUAGAUCACUUCCAUUUGGACAUAAGCAAAGCAAUCUCAAAG